GAGUGGCGGACGGGUGAGUAACACGUGGGUAACCUGCCCUAAAGUGGGGGAUAACAUUUGGAAACAGAUGCUAAUACCGCAUAAAACCUAACACCGCAUGGUGUAGGGUUGAAAGAUGGUUUCGGCUAUCACUUUAGGAUGGACCCGCGGUGCAUUAGUUAGUUGGUGAGGUAAAGGCUCACCAAGACCGUGAUGCAUAGCCGACCUGAGAGGGUAAUCGGCCACACUGGGACUGAGACACGGCCCAGACUCCUACGGGAGGCAGCAGUAGGGAAUCUUCCACAAUGGACGAAAGUCUGAUGGAGCAACGCCGCGUGAGUGAAGAAGGUUUUCGGAUCGUAAAACUCUGUUGUUGGAGAAGAAUGUAUCUGAUAGUAACUGAUCAGGUAGUGACGGUAUCCAACCAGAAAGCCACGGCUAACUACGUGCCAGCAGCCGCGGUAAUACGUAGGUGGCAAGCGUUGUCCGGAUUUAUUGGGCGUAAAGCGAGCGCAGGCGGUUUCUUAAGUCUGAUGUGAAAGCCUUCGGCUCAACCGAAGAAGUGCAUCGGAAACUGGGAAACUUGAGUGCAGAAGAGGACAGUGGAACUCCAUGUGUAGCGGUGAAAUGCGUAGAUAUAUGGAAGAACACCAGUGGCGAAGGCGGCUGUCUGGUCUGUAACUGACGCUGAGGCUCGAAAGCAUGGGUAGCAAACAGGAUUAGAUACCCUGGUAGUCCAUGCCGUAAACGAUGAGUGCUAGGUGUUGGAGGGUUUCCGCCCUUCAGUGCCGCAGCUAACGCAUUAAGCACUCCGCCUGGGGAGUACGACCGCAAGGUUGAAACUCAAAGGAAUUGACGGGGGCCCGCACAAGCGGUGGAGCAUGUGGUUUAAUUCGAAGCAACGCGAAGAACCUUACCAGGUCUUGACAUCCUUUGACCACUCUAGAGAUAGAGCUUUCCCUUCGGGGACAAAGUGACAGGUGGUGCAUGGUUGUCGUCAGCUCGUGUCGUGAGAUGUUGGGUUAAGUCCCGCAACGAGCGCAACCCUUAUUACUAGUUGCCAGCAUUUAGUUGGGCACUCUAGUGAGACUGCCGGUGACAAACCGGAGGAAGGUGGGGACGACGUCAAAUCAUCAUGCCCCUUAUGACCUGGGCUACACACGUGCUACAAUGGAUGGUACAACGAGUUGCGAGACCGCGAGGUUUAGCUAAUCUCUUAAAACCAUUCUCAGUUCGGAUUGUAGGCUGCAACUCGCCUACAUGAAGCCGGAAUCGCUAGUAAUCGCGGAUCAGCAUGCCGCGGUGAAUACGUUCCCGGGCCUGUACACACCGCCCGUCACACCAUGAGAGUUUGUAACACCCAAAGCCGGUGAGGUAACCCUUCGGGGAGCCAGCCGUCUAAGG
rnacentral:rRNA from 1 species